CCCAAGGUAAGCCAACCUAAAGCAAGCUUACUCCAUCCUUACAAUCUUUUCUUUCCACUAUUCUCAAAACUCUGACUAACUUAAGCAUCAGAGGAUCUCUCGUAGGAACAACCCUAGUGAGUGUGGACUUUUUUUUGCUUAGUAGAGUUUGCCUCGAGGGUCUCCUUAUUAUCUUCUUAUAUAGGGAGGUUUCAGAGUUUAUUAGGCCUAAACCCAUAGGUGUCAGGUCUGAGCCAGUAGGUUGUUAUUCACACGUGUUUAUUACACCCAUGUAGCCACAUUCCGAGAAUUUGUUGGGAGAUUCCAAUAGAUUGCCCAUAUGGCAAAAUGAGUUGGC
rnacentral:lncRNA from 1 species